GGGUCAGCGGGUCGGUCGUGCCACAGGUAUGUACUGGUCUUGCUGAUUCCUCCCUCUUGACGAACCGUAAUGCCAUUAAUUUGGUGUUGCGGGGAAUCAGGACUGUUACUUUGAAAAAAUUAGAGUGUUUAAAGCAGGCAUGCGCCUGAAUACAUUAGCAUGGAAUAAUGAAAUAGGACGUUUGAUCCUAUUUUGUUGGUUUCUAGGAUUGACGUA
rnacentral:rRNA from 1 species